GAUGAAGAACGUAGCAAAAUGCGAUAAGUAAUGUGAAUUGCAGAAUUCAGUGAAUCAUCGAAUCUUUGAACGCACAUUGCGCCCUCUGGUAUUCCGGGGGGCAUGCCUGUUCGAGCGUCAUUAUAACCACUCAAGCUCUCGCUUGGUAUUGGGGUUCGCGGUUUCGCGGCCCCUAAAAUCAGUGGCGGUGCCUGUCGGCUCUACGCGUAGUAAUACUUCUCGCGAUUGAGUUCGAUAGGUCUACUUGCCAGUAACCCCCAAUUUUUACAGGUUGACCUCGGAUCAGGUAGGGAUACCCGCUGAACUUAAGCAUAUCAAUAAGCGGAGGA
rnacentral:misc_RNA from 1 species